rnacentral:rRNA from 1 species
GUCUACGGCCAUACCACCCUGAACGCGCCCGAUCUCGUCUGAUCUCGGAAGCUAAGCAGGGUCGGGCCUGGUUAGUACUUGGAUGGGAGACUUGGGGUCCCGUGGGCU